AGAGUUUGAUCAUGGCUCAGGGUGAACGCUGGCGGCGUGCCUAAGACAUGCAAGUCGAACGGGCCUGAUUUCGGUCAGGCUAGUGGCGGACGGGUGAGUAACACGUGGGUGAUCUACCCCAAAGUCUGGGACAACUAGGGGAAACCUUAGCUAAUCCCGGAUGGUGAGGCUUCUCCUGUGAAGUCUCUAAAGAUUUAUCGCUUUGGGAUGAGCCCGCGGCGCAUCAGCUAGUUGGUGGGGUAAUGGCCUACCAAGGCGACGACGCGUAGCUGGUCUGAGAGGACGACCAGCCACAGGAGCACUGAGACACGGGCUCCACUCCUACGGGAGGCAGCAGUUAGGAAUCUUCGUCAAUGGGCGAAAGCCUGAACGAGCGACGCCGCUUGAGGGACGAAGCCCUUCGGGGUGUAAACCUCUGAACAGGGGACGAUGAUGACGGUACCCUGCUAAUAGCACCGGCUAACUCCGUGCCAGCAGCCGCGGUAAUACGUAGGGGGCAAGCGUUGUCCGGAAUUAUUGGGCGUAAAGCGCGCGCAGGCGGUCGGUUAAGUCUUCUGUUUAAGCCCCGGGCUCAACUCGGGUACGCAGAGGAAACUGGGCGACUGGAGUGUAGGAGAGGAAAGUGGAAUUCCACGUGUAGCGGUGAAAUGCGUAGAGAUGUGGAGGAACACCAGUGGCGAAGGCGACUUUCUGGCCUAUAACUGACGCUGAGGCGCGAAAGCGUGGGGAGCAAACCGGAUUAGAUACCCUGGUAGUC
rnacentral:rRNA from 1 species